AUGACUUGUGAUUUGUUGUGUGUUUAGUGUGGAAUGAGACUCUUGGAACACAAAAUCCUGAAGAUUUGAAGGAAAUGACAUCAUCAUCGUCUCAGAUGUGUUGCUCUGGAUGCUGGCUGCUCUUCUUUGCGUCGUUGGCUUCAUUGUUGUGCUGUUGGUCAGUUUCAUCAUUCUAAAUCAGAGGUUUCAUCUCUCGCUGCACAAACACCAUCUGUCCAGGACGAUUUUCCAGGAUCUGAAAGAAAAAAAAUCCCUACUCCUUUCUCUCUCUCUCUUUCUCUCUCUCUCUCUGUGUCUCACUCUCUCUCUCAAACUCUCUCUCUCCCUCUCCCCUAAAAGUGUCUGAUAAAUGACUAAAUGUAAAUAUAUCUCUGGGCUUUGAUUCAGCGAGCUGUUGAAUCUGCUGAGGCUGAAUCUACGCCGGACGAAUGUGAACUCAUGAACAGGAGCUGAUGAUGAAGAUGAUGAUGAAGAUUAUGAUGAAGAUGAUGAUGAUGAUGAUGAUGAUGAUGUUUAAAUGGAGUUAAACUCAGGGAUCCAAAAUCAAAGAGUUUUUAAUGUUGUAAUGUUCUAACAGUCAUGUGGCCCAUUUUUUAUCUUUAUUAUUGGUGUCAGGUAUGUGGUGCAAGUAUUAACUAGAUGACUCGCGAGCACAUAUUUUGUUGUGUCAUUCUGUUUGUUUUG